GAGGUUGAUGAGGUAGUUUAUAAAGCUGCGAGAGUAGAUAUAAGCUCGCAGAUUUUAAGCUAUCUCGACUACCUU
rnacentral:pre_miRNA from 1 species